GAUGAACGCUGGCGGCGUGCCUAAUACAUGCAAGUCGAGCGAAGCGGGGACGGGUGAGUAACACGCGGAUAAACCCGUAUAAGACUGGGGUAACUCAGGGGAACCGGAGUUCAAUCGGAUACUUAUAGAUGGAUUUACGUUGCAUUGUCGAUUGGGUAAGGUAACGGCUGACAAAGGCAACGAUGCAUAGCCGACCUGGGAGGUUGAUCGGCCACACUGGAACUGGGACACGGCCCAGACUCCUACGGGGGGCAUCAGUGGGGAAUCUUCGGAAAUGGGCGAAAGCCUGACAGGGAAAGGCCGCUUGAUUGAUGAAGGUCUUCGGAUCGUAAAACUCUGUUAUUAGGGAAGCGGUACCUAAUCAGAAAGCCACGGCUAACUACGUGCCAGCAGCCGCGGUAAUUC
rnacentral:rRNA from 1 species